rnacentral:lncRNA from 1 species
CGGUGAGCAAUCCCUGUGGUUGCCCAGAGCAUCAUCCCACUAAGUCCUCAUAAUCACCAGGCAUGAUUGUGAGGUCAUCACAGUGAAUUGGUGCACCCCUGGAGGUAGGAAGGCAGCUGAAGAGGGGAGAGAGACACCCUCCCCACCCCCAUAUGAGGAUGGUCUGUGAUGAUAUGCAUGCAGGGGAAGGGACUUAUCCAAGGUCCCUGAUAGAUAGGGACUGGAAUUUUGGCAGUGUCUUUUCUAGAGUAGAACAAAUUUAUCAGUUGAAUUUGCUGUAGUUCUCUGAAGGUUUCUUUGGCCACAUUAGAAUUUUUGAGCCCUGGCAUCCAAGUAGGCCAACUUCAAAAUGGCUGUGUGCUCCACUCAGAGAUUCUGCUGUGAAGACUGGCAGGAGAUUUUUUAGCCUAUUCUGAACUCCAACUGUUCCAGUUCCUCUUGCUUUCCAGAGGUGUGAGCACCUGGAAGCCCCUGCUCUGGUCUACACCCCAGGCUCAAGAUUCAUCCUGCUCACUCAGCCACUCAUGCUGUCACCAGUGAUAAAACUGAGUCAUUGGGAAAUUCAGCAGCUAAUGAAGAUGGCCCUGUUCUGUCAGGUCCCUACUGGAAUAUUUAAAAUUCUGUUUUUCAUACUUAUCAGCUAAAAGAAUUACAGAAAUAUAUUUCUGGAUCCUGUGGGGAAUAAGAGCAGAAAUAUACAAAGCUUCUUCUUUCAAGACGGAUCCCAGCAGCCCAAGCUAAUGUCACAGUUGUGUUAAAGACUAUUGAUUCCAGCAGGUUCUGGGCUGGGUCUCAGCUUCCCAGGACUGUUCCAGGCUGACCUCCUUUCCCUGGUUCCAUCUUUUUUUGGGACUUCUGUGGGCCUUCAUUCAGCAUGUGGCUUGCGGGUGUCCAGGUCUGCAGGCAUACACACCUCUCCUGAUCUGAAUCAGAGAACAAAAGAUAAAGGAUCGAGGACAAUGGCCUCUUCACUUUUGCUUUCUCUCUUCUUUGGGUUUUACUUUGUGUUUCCAACAGCCAAUGGAAGGCUGUUCUAUUUAGGGUAAAUGACUCAGACUUGGUACAUCUCGAAUCGUAUGUCAGAGCACACUGUUGCCCCUCAAAGCUCAGGAAAGGCUGCAUACUCUAUCUCCCUCUUGAUGGUUUCCUCGUAUUUACAAGUUAAAGACCAUAGAUGUCCUGUAGUAAAGGGGUUAGCUUGCCUCUGUUUAUCCCGGUGAUUCUAGUGAAACUAAAAUGCUUGUUUCUAUGGGGCACAGUCCAGAUGUGUUGUUCACUUGGAUUGACCAAUCCUUUCAAUAAAGUUUUGAUGCAACCAUGUGAAUCCCAAGUUUUCAGCACUUAGUUUUGUGACCUUGAGCAAGUCACCUAAUCAUUACAUGCCUCAGUUUCCUCAUCUGUAAAAGGGGAUAAUAAAAAGCAUCUACUUCACAGGGUUGCAUUGAGGAUUAAGUGCUUUAAUUAAGGUUUUAGUACAGUUUCUGAAAUAUAAUGUAUUCUAUAUAUGGUAGCUAUUAUUAUGUUAGUAUCCAUUAUUAUUUGCUGGAAUCUUUUAACACUGUGCUGAGUGUUGGUACUGUCUUCUUAUCAUGUCAUAGAGCAUGGGGUAGUAUAAGAAUCCUACCUUAGGUCAAAGGUCACAAAGCCCUAUUGUUUUAUUCCCAAUAGUCUUACAGGGAAGAUGCAGUUGUCCUUGUCUUAUGGAGGAAGGAGGUGAAGCACACCCGAGCGGUAAAGAGGCCCCUGGUCACACAGCCCAUACAGGAGUCAAACCCUGGCCUCUGGCUGCAAGCCUGCCAUCCCCAAGCGUCUCUCUAAAGCUUCUUGUCAACCAGCCUCAGACAGGGGCCCACAGACACGAACCUCAUCUCAGCGUUGGAAGAAAACAUGGAGAACUGCACAGCUCCUAAAGUUUCUGCCAAAAUGGGACAUAUGCCACUUCUGCUGAUGUUUCAUUGGCCAGUGUAGGACCCAUGGCUUAGCCUAACUUCAGAGGGUGCAGGGUAAUGUAAUCCUGCUGCAUGCCUAGGAUGUGAAGAGCAGGAAAUAUUUGUCAACAGCAUUAAACAUGACCACAGUGAUUAUAAUAAAUGAUUUUUCAAUAUCCA